rnacentral:rRNA from 1 species
GUGCCAGCCGCCGCGGUAAUACGGAAGGUGCAAGCGUUGUUCGGAAUGACUGGGCGUAAAGCGCACGUAGGCGGUUUUGUAAGUCGGAUGUGAAAGCCCCAGGCUCAACCUGGGAGGAGCACUCGAUACUGCAAAUCUUGAAUGCUUGAGGGGUUGGUGGAAUUCCUGGUGUAGGAGUGAAAUCCGUAGAUAUCAGGAGGAACAUCGGGGGCGAAGGCGGCCAACUGGUGAUGCAUUGACGCUAAGGUGCGAAAGCGUGGGGAGCAAACAGGAUUAGAUACCCGGGUAGUCC